CCGGCGACCGGCGCACGGUGAGUAACACGUAUGCAACCUGCCCUCCUUCAGGGGGACGAACCUUCCCGAAACGGGAAGGGCCGUAAUACCCGCCGUAGUAUCGGUUUCGGGGUCCGAUCCGAGAUCGAGGAAAGAAUUCAUCGGAAGAGGAUGGGCAUGCGGCGCAUUAGCUUGACGGCGGGGUAACGGCCCACCGUGGCGACGAUGCGUAGGGGUUCUGAGAGGAAGGUCCCCCACACUGGUACUGAGACACGGACCAGACUCCUACGGGAGGCAGCAGUGAGGAAUAUUGGUCAAUAGGAGAGAUCCUGAACCAGCCAAGCCGCGUGAGGGAAGACGGCCCUAUGGGUUGUAAACCUCUUUUGCCGGAGAACAAAACCCGGGACGUGUCCCGGACUGCGUGUAUCCGAAGAAAAAGCAUCGGCUAACUCCGUG
rnacentral:rRNA from 1 species